UGAAUACGAGACGCUAAGGCGUCGAAGUAGUGUAUGUCAGACUUCCAAGAAAAGCUCGCACUGUCAUAGGUAAAAAAUGCCUGUACCAUAACCGACACAGGUGGGUAGGUAGAGUAUACUAAGGGGCGCGAGAUAACUCUCUCUAAGGAACUCGGCAAAAUGACUCCGUAACUUCGGGAGAAGGAGUGCCUUAUUUAUAAGGUUGCAAUAACAAGAUCCAAGCAACUGUUUACCAAAAACACAGGUCUCCGCUAAGUCGUAAGACGAUGUAUGGGGGCUGACGCCUGCCCAGUGCCAGAAGGUUAAAGAAGUUGGUUAGCAUUCGCGAAGCUGAUAACUGAAGCCCUGGUGAACGGCGGCCGUAACUAUAACGGUCCUAAGGUAGCGAAAUUCCUUGUCGAGUAAGUUCCGACCCGCACGAAAGGCGUAAUGAUUUGGAUACUGUCUCGGAGAGAGGCUCGGUGAAAUAGACUUGUCUGUGAAGAUGCGGACUACCUGCACCUGGACAGAAAGACCCUAUGAAGCUUUACUGUAACUUGAAAUUGAAAUUGGACUUUAGUCGCGCAGCAUAGGUGGGAGGCGUUGAGAAUAUUCUUGCGGGAAUAUAGGAGCCAUCAGUGAGAUACCACUCUUCUAAUGUUAGAUUUCUAACCUUGAACCAUUAUCUGGUCAAGGAACAGAUUCAGGCGGGCAGUUUGACUGGGGCGGUCGCCUCCCAAAUGGUAACGGAGGCGUACAAAGGUUUCCUCUGAACGGAUAGAAAUCGUAUCUAGAGUAUAAAGGCAUAAGGAAGCUUGACUGUGAGACUUACAAGUCGAGCAGGGACGAAAGUCGGUCUUAGUGAUCUGACGGUACUGAGUGGAAAGGCCGUCACUCAACGGAUAAAAGUUACUCUAGGAUAACAGGCUGAUCUCCCCCAAGAGUUCACAUCGACGGGGAGGUUUGGCACCUCGAUGUCGGCUCAUCGCAUCCUGGGGCGGUAGUACGUCCCAAGGGUUGGGCUGUUCGCCCAUGAAAGCGGUACGCGAGCUGGGUUCAGAACGUCGUGAGACAGUUCGGUCCAUAUCCGGUGUAGGCGUUAGAAUAUUGAGAGGAGCCUUCUUUAGUACGAGAGGACCGAGAAGGACAUACCUCUGGUGUACCAGUUAUCGUGCCAACGGUAAACGCUGGGUAGCUAUGUAUGGAGUGGAUAACCGCUGAAAGCAUCUAAGUGGGAAGCCCACCUCAAGAUGAGUAUUCUCAC
rnacentral:rRNA from 1 species